UGAGACCCUAUCUUGAAAAAACAAAAAAGUGGAACAAUACAGAAAAGAUUAGCAUGGCCCCUGCCCAAGGCCCACACGCAAAUUAGUGAAACGUUCCAUAUUCAA